UAUUUUGAACCGGGGCAGUAUAGGCUGUUAUGAGCACAAAGUCUUCAAAAGUUUUGCAUUUCUCUUCUGGCACAAACUCUCGCUUGUCAUUGUUGUUCUUCAACUCCUGCGUGUUUCGUGUUAUUAAUUCUCAGGUUAUAUUAAAAGCUUUUUUUUGUCCUUUUUGAGGGUCAGGUUCCUCCUCUUUCCCUUGAAUGCGCUAGCUAGAGGCUGAAGCUUCUUCCCUUUCUUUUCUUGCUUUCUCGUGAGCACGAGCAGCGAGAGUGCUGUGAUGGAGGUGAGUGACCAGCAAAGAUGCGGAGAGAAGCGAUGAGGUCGCAUCCGACAACAGUAGCGCUUCCGCGAAGGUUCAAACUCUGACUUCUUCGAUGGCGACGACUGCGUAGGACGUUGGCUGUUCUGAUUCACGGCGCAAGUUUCCUUCUCCUCCUUCUUCCUUUGUUUUCGUUUGAGUUUUAGGGGUUUCCUGGUUCAUAUAAGAACACGGAUUGGGUGCGAAUGGGAUUGCGAUGACAGACGAAGGUGGCAGUGGCGCAUUUUAGAUUCUUCAUGAUGAUGAAAUAGAGAGAGUGAAUAGUAUAGAAUUAGAUUCAUAUGUGUUGUGAAUUAAGCACUCCCAAUACCCACAUUUAUACUCACACCAACUCCUUCAUUAUUACCUAUUCUGUUGUUCUAAUAUUUAUUCAUCAUAUCAACUAUUUUUUGUGGUCAAUAAAUAUCUAUCGACUUCGAAGAA